CACGAUCCUAAAACAGAACCUUACAAUUAGCACGCAGACCCAAGGCUGACACAAAUCAAGGGCUAAGAUUAUCAUGAUUUACUUGCCAUUUAGUGGGGCAAGGUCUCUGAGUGAUUCUCUGGAACAUGGAGGACAAAAGCCAUAGAGGAGGAAGAGGAGAAGAAAAAGAAUGAAGUAGAAGAUGAAUUAGAAGAAGCAGAAACAGAGAGAAGAAGAAGAAAGGGAAGAAGAAGAAAAAGGAGGAGGAGGAGGAGGAGAAGGAGAGGAAAAAGAAGAAGAAGAAGAAGGAGGAGGAGGAGGAGGAGGAGGAGGAGGAGAAGGAGAAGAAGAAAAUUUUAUAACAUUUUCUGGAAAAUAAGGGUAACUGUAGGUGAUCAUAUUAAAUAUAGAAAGAUGCCAACAAGAAA